GCCGCGUGUGUGAAGAAGGCCUUAUGGUUGUAAAGCACUUUAAGGCGAGGAGGAGGCUAUCUAGUUAAUACCUAGGGAUAGUGGACGUUAUCGCAGAAUAAGCACCGGCUAACUCUGUGCCAGCAGCCGCGGUAAUACAGAGGGUGCGAGCGUUAAUCGGAUUUACUGGGCGUAAAGCGUGCGUAGGCGGCUUAUUAAGUCGGAUGUGAAAUCCCCGAGCUUAACUUGGGAAUUGCAUUCGAUACUGGUGAGCUAGAGUAUGGGAGAGGAUGGUAGAAUUCCAGGUGUAGCGGUGAAAUGCGUAGAGAUCUGGAGGAAUACCGAUGGCGAAGGCAGCCAUCUGGCCUAAUACUGACGCUGAGGUACGAAAGCAUGGGGAGCAAACAGGAUUAGAUACCCUGGUAGUCCAUGCCGUAAACGAUGUCUACUAGCCGUUGGGGCCUUUGAGGCUUUAGUGGCGCAGCUAACGCGAUAAGUAGACCGCCUGGGGAGUACGGUCGCAAGACUAAAACUCAAAUGAAUUGACGGGGGCCCGCACAAGCGGUGGAGCAUGUGGUUUAAUUCGAUGCAACGCGAAGAAACUUACCUGGCCUUGACAUACUAGAAACUUUCCAGAGAUGGAUUGGU
rnacentral:rRNA from 1 species